rnacentral:rRNA from 1 species
CCGCCCGUCACAUCACGAAAGUGGGCUGUACUAGAAGAUGUUGCGCUAACCGCAAGGGGGCAGGCAUCCACGGUAUGGUUCAUGAUUGGGGUG